rnacentral:tRNA from 2 species
GAAGGAGUGGCCGAGUGGUUUAAGGCGCUGGUCUUGAAAACCAGAAAUAUUUUACAAUAUUCUAGAGUUCGAAUCUCUACUCCUUCU